UUGUUUCAGUGGCAAAUAUACUAAAAUUUGAAAGAUUCACAGAAGAUUAGUAUGGCCGCUGCGAAAGGAUUACACGAAAAAUCAUGAAGCGUUCCACGUUAAA